AUGGGGUGUUUGUACUUUGCUUUUAUUCUUUACUUCUUUCAGGUUGGUCAAAAAGGGAAAAAAGAGAACAGUAGAGGAAGUCAAGAAGCUACCCAGAAUGCUAAUGUAAGGAUGUCGCGAGAACCUAAUCAGUCAUUCUCAGGAUGCAAACCACCCUUGGAAAUGCAGCAGAUCCAGCGCCACUGUAGCUUUAUGAAUACUGCCUGUGGGAAUCUUGUUUGUCCCAUUUAUAUUUCAGGAUAUGUAAGUAUUUGUUACAUAUUUAUCCCAGAGUCAGAAACUCCUCAUCUAAAACAUCACCGUAACAGUUCAAAUUAACAGAGCCACUGAUACUCUUUAUAAUACGUGGUGUGUGUGUGUGUGUGUGUGUGUUUAGUAAUCAGGUCAUAUCUUUAAAACAAACUCCACUAUCUUAGCUUUGGUUUCCUCAUUUUAUGAUUUUUUUGACGUUUUGUAUAAGACUGCAGUACUGUUUACACCUCCAUGCCUCUUAACCAAAGAUUCAUUUUAACAAACAUACACUAAGCACCCAUACUGUGUGAGGUUUUGUAGGACACACACAGAUGUAGGCAGUGGUGUCCUGGUAAGCCGGCACUCCAGAAAAAAAAAAAAAAAAAAAAAAAGACCUGAUUUAUAGCAUUUUUCAAUUUUUGCAGUAUAAACACUUCCACAUGGCUGAUUUCAAGCUACCAGUGGUUUAACAGCUGACUUACAAAAAAUCCUGAAUACUUCGCUCCUCUAGGACAAACACUUAAGAAUAAGCUGCCACAACUGUCAGCUGUGUGUGGGAAACUAUAUUGGUCCAGGCAGCCCGGCUGGCUAUCCAGCCAAAGUGUGUCCAGGCAAGACCAGCACAAGAACCUCCAGAACAAGCCAAAGAAUCAUGAGAAAUUUUAAGCUGUUUAUUAAGCCUCUAAAUUUGGGGAUGAUUUGUUACAUAGCGGUAGCUGACUGAUACACAUGAAGUACAGGCUGCAUUGGUAAGACUCAAUCGAGAAGCUGGAGCUGUUUUCAGCCUUCCCUUCUUUUUGGCAUCAUAGUCCUAUUCAUAGGCUGCCUGGGAAAUUUUGAUCUUUCUUUUUUUACAGGAAGCAAGACUUCCUGGCCACCUGGUGCUAAACAUAAACACUGGCACCUCCAAUGCUCUUGGCCUUUGGAUAUGCUGCCCAGUUGAAUUUUUGAUCAGACUAAGCAAAACAAAGGUCCAUAUCUAUAAACAGUAGUUUUAGGAGAAUAUGUUUUUUUUAAAAAAAAAAUCAGGACUGAUGAUUUUCUCAAAUGAGGGGAAUCGGAACUGCCAUGAGCAAGACCACCCAAAGGCAAGUGGAACAUUUAAUAACAUUCUUCUUAUCUUAUUAUCUCCUCUAGGUACUGACCUUUCUCAUUUGUAAUGGACUUUGACCAACUACAACUGAUUUGUUAAAUAUUGACUUGAUGUAAUAGCAAACAUCCAGGACUCAUUUAUUCCAAUAUAUUCCAUUUCUAAAGUUAGUAUUCUGUUUGGGGGUUACCCCCUCUGUUUGUGCAUACUUUUCCAUAGCAGACCCCAGCUCCUCUAGGGGUCUUUCUUCUGCUAAAGAUUUCCAAAGACAAGAUCUGUCCUCUUGGCCCGUGUAUCAUUAUCACAUGUGAAACACUGAUGACUCCAAACUAUCAGGAACCAGAGCAAUGAAAAAUCAUUAUUUUAAAUAUUCAGUUUCCUAAAGAAAAGAAAGAAAAUGAUGAUCACAAAAGUCAAGAGAGAGUUUCCUCCGAGGAGAAGGUGGAGGCUUAAUGAUCAGAGAGAGACAGAGAAAGAAAGAGUUCGUCUUGUCUGGGUAGUGGGAUCACAUAGCAUUUGCUUCAUUGUAAUUUUAAGUAUUCAUGUAAAGUUUAUACUCUUGUGGAUGUAGGUUUUAUUUCACAAUAAGAACAAUAAUCAGGGGCACCUGGCUGGCUCAGUUGGUAGUGUGUGAUUCUUGGUCUUGAGGUCAUGAGCUUACUAAAAUAAAAUUAAAUCUAAAAAUUAAAAAGUAAUGUAU
rnacentral:lncRNA from 12 species